AUUCGUUUUAUUUUGUUAAACCCUAUUCUAUUUUCUUUCCUCUUUUGCGAAACCCUACCCGUCAUUAUUUUUUUUGAAUUUCCUGAGAAAACGCUGCACAAAUCUCCCUCAGAUUCAUUCCGAUUUCAGUAGGUAAGCCGUUCAUAAUUUUCAGUGUUGUUUCAUGCGCUACUUCCGUUCUUAAUCAUUUUUCUCAUGUGUUUUAGAACCAAAUUGAGCUCCGUUUCGUUCCAGCGAUUGUAGACUCAUUUAUCUUCGAGACCGAGCUUUGUUUUUUAGAAACGAUACGUUAUCUUUUCCGUUAUAGCCGCCGCCGUUUAUCGUUUUAAUGUAAUUCGCUGUUUUGAGUUCUAAAUCGAUCUCUCCGUAUUUUGAUUCGUUCGUAGCCGUUUCUAGAUCUAAUUCAGUUCCGUUUCUUUUCUGUGAUAGUAGACUCGUUUCUCUACAACUUUGCUCUUGGUGUUUUUCCAAACGACUCUUCGACUACUCGUGCUCAGGAGUCGAACCAGGGUUAGCUGUUUGCCGAAGUUUCACGUGGAUAAGCAAGCAGUGAGUUUGUAGUGCUAUUUACCGCUUUAUUAAGUACCGCAUCGUAUUUUAAUAUUAUAAAUGUUUGUGAACUGUUUUUACGGAUUAUGGAUCUGGAUUGAAACGAGCUACUCGAUAGGCUUGUAUCGAGACUGUGUGCACCGGUGAGUACUCUGGGAAACUGCAGACUAAAGUCUUGCUUACGCUGGUAUAUAUUUAUGACGAGGAUUUGUUCCCGUCCACUCUGAAUUUAUCAGUAUGCUAUGUCAUACUUACGCUGGGAUCAUUUCAAUACUGUUUUCCAUAAUCAUAUUAUAUUAGUAUAAAAAUGUUUUGAUUUAAGGGUUUUAAACUUAAUAAAUGUAAAUAGUAUUGCGAACUCAUCUCAGUAUAUCUGACCCCGUUGUUUUCCCAAAUUUUCCAGGUUUGUGAUUUGAAAGCUGGUCCACUCCGAUUCUUUUGAUUCCUCGGAGGUUUUAUGUUAUUUAAACUACUUCUGUUUUGAAACUCUUAGACCGCAGUAGAACUAGUUAAUAUAUUACAUUGUUAUUGCAGUUUGGGGUUAUCGAUUUGAUCGAUUAUUUAUUA